rnacentral:rRNA from 1 species
UACAGAGGUGCCGAGCGUUAGGCGGAAUCACUGGGCUUAAAGCGUGUGUAGGCGGGUCGUUAAGUGCCUUGUGAAAUCCCACGGCUCAACCGUGGAACUGCUGGGCAUACUGCCGAUCUUGAGCCAGCUAGGGGCAACCGGAACAAACGGUGGAGCGGUGAAAUGCGUAGAUAUCGUUUGGAACGCCAAUGGUGAAAACAGGUUGCUGGGGCUGUGCUGACGCUGAGACACGAAAGCCAGGGGAGCGAACGGG